rnacentral:rRNA from 1 species
CCUACGGGAGGCAGCAGUGGGGAAUUUUGGACAAUGGGCGCAAGCCUGAUCCAGCAAUGCCGCGUGCAGGAUGAAGGCCUUCGGGUUGUAAACUGCUUUUGUACGGAACGAAAAGGCUCUGGCUAAUACCUGGGGCUGAUGACGGUACCGUAAGAAUAAGCACCGGCUAACUACGUGCCAGCAGCCGCGGUAAUACGUAGGGUGCGAGCGUUAAUCGGAAUUACUGGGCGUAAAGCGUGCGCAGGCGGUUUGGUAAGACGGGGGUAAAAUCCCCGGGCUUAACCUGGGAACUGCCUUUGUGACUGCAAGGCUGGAGUACGGCAGAGGGGGAUGAAAUUCCGCGUGUAGCAGUGAAAUGCGUAGAUAUGCGGAGGAACACCGAGGGCGAAGGCAGUCCCCUGGGCCUGUACUGACGCUCAGGCACGAAAGCGUGGGGAGCAAACAGGAUUAGAUCCCCCGGUAGU